GAAAUGCGAUAAUUAAUGUGAAUUGCAGAAUUCAGUGAAUCAUCGAGUCUUUGAACGCACAUUGCGCCCCCUGGUAUUCCGGGGGGCAUGCCUGUCCGAGCGUCAUUGCUGCCCUCAAGCACGGCUUGUGUGUUGGGCUUCCGUCCCUGGCAACGGGGACGGGCCCAAAAGGCAGUGGCGGCACCUUGUCUGGUCCUCGAGCGUAUGGGGCUUUGUCACCCGCUCCCGUAGGUCCAGCUGGCAGCUAGCCUCGCAACCAAUCUUUUUAACCAGGUUGACCUCGGAUCAGGUAGGGAUACCCGCUGAACUUAAGC
rnacentral:misc_RNA from 1 species